rnacentral:rRNA from 1 species
GACGAACGCUGGCGGCGUGGAUUAGGCAUGCAAGUCGAACGGUAGGGUUCCUUCGGGGACCUGAGAGUGGCGAACGGGUGAGUAACACGUAGGUAAUCUACCCUCAAAUCGGGGACAACCCAGGGAAACUUGGGCUAAUACCGGAUGAGUGCGCUUUCGGGUGCAUAAAAGGUGGCGUAAGCUGCUGUUUGGGGAUGAGCCUGCGCUCUAUUAGUUAGUUGGUGAGGUAACGGCUUACCAAGGCGAUGAUAGAUAGGCGGCCUUAACGGGUGGUCGCCCACACUGGGAUUGAGAUACGGCCCAGACUCCUACGGGAGGCAGCAGUCGAGAAUAGUCUACAAUGGACGAAAGUCUGAUAGUGCGACGCCGCGUGAACGAAGAAGCCCUUCGGGUGUAAAGUUCUUUAUAUGUGAGCAAUGCUUCCUAGGUGAAUAGUUUAGGGAGAGAGAUAUUAGCACAUGAAUAAGCAACGGCUAACUCCGUGCCAGCAGCCGCGGUAAACGUAGCGUG